AGCGAACGCUGGCGGCAGGCCUAACACAUGCAAGUCGAACGAAGUCUUCGGACUUAGUGGCGGACGGGUGAGUAACACGUGGGAACGUGCCUUUAGGUUCGGAAUAACUCAGGGAAACUUGUUCUAAUACCGAAUGUGCCCUUCGGGGGAAAGAUUUAUCGCCUUUAGAGCGGCCCGCGUCUGAUUAGCUAGUUGGUGAGGUAAAGGCUCACCAAGGCUACGAUCAGUAGCUGGUUUGAGAGGAUGACCAGCCACAUUGGGACUGAGACACGGCCCAAACUCCUACGGGAGGCAGCAGUGGGGAAUCUUGCGCAAUGGGCGAAAGCCUGACGCAGCCAUGCCGCGUGGAUGAUGAAGGUCUUAGGAUUGUAAAAUCCUUUCACCGGUGAAGAUAAUGACUGUAGCCGGAGUAGAAGCCCCGGCUAACUUCGUGCAGCAGCCGCCGUAAUAC
rnacentral:rRNA from 1 species